GAUGAACGCUGGCGGCGUGCCUAAUACAUGCAAGUCGAGCGAACAGAUGAGGAGCUUGCUCCUCUGACGUUAGCGGCGGACGGGUGAGUAACACGUGGAUAACCUACCUAUAAGACUGGGAUAACUUCGGGAAACCGGAGCUAAUACCGGAUAAUAUAUUGAACCGCAUGGUUCAAUAGUGAAAGACGGUUUUGCUGUCACUUAUAGAUGGAUCCGCGCCGCAUUAGCUAGUUGGUAAGGUAACGGCUUACCAAGGCAACGAUGCGUAGCCGACCUGAGAGGCUGAUCGGCCACACGGGAACGUAGACACGGUCCAGGCGCCUACGGGAGGCAGCAGUAGGGAAUCUUCCGCAAUGGGCGAAAGCCUGACGGAGCAACGCCGCGUGAGUGAUGAAGGUCUUCGGAUCGUAAAACUCUGUUAUUAGUGAAGAACAAAUGUGUAAGUAACUAUGCACGUCUUGACGGUACCGAAUCAGAAAGCCACGGCUAACUACGUG
rnacentral:rRNA from 1 species